GAUGAACGCUGGCGGCGUGCCUAAUACAUGCAAGUCGAGCGAACAGACGAGGAGCUUGCUCCUCUGACGUUAGCGGCGGACGGGUGAGUAACACGUGGAUAACCUACCUAUAAGACUGGGAUAACUUCGGGAAACCGGAGCUAAUACCGGAUAAUAUAUUGAACCGCAUGGUUCAAUAGUGAAAGACGGUUUUGCUGUCACUUAUAGAUGGAUCCGCGCCGCAUUAGCUAGUUGGUAAGGUAACGGCUUACCAAGGCAACGAUGCGUAGCCGACCUGAGAGGGUGAUCGGCCACACUGGAACUGAGACACGGUCCAGACUCCUGCGGGAGGCAGCAGUAGGGAAUCUUCCGCAAUGGGCGAAAGCUUGACGGAGCAACGCCGCGUGAGUGAUGAAGGCCUUCGGAUCGUAAAACUCUGUUAUUAGUGAAGAACAAAUGUGUAAGUAACUAUGCACGUCUUGACGGUACCUAAUCAGAAAGCCACGGCUAACUACGUG
rnacentral:rRNA from 1 species